rnacentral:rRNA from 1 species
CUGGCUCUUCGGAGUANGUGCUCGCCUUAUCGCUUUUUCUACUUCUCCACCUGUGCACCUAUUGUAGAUCGUGUUGGAAAUCCUUUGUGGUUUCUCGUUCAUCUUUUGAACGGUUCCAGAGGUCUUGCUCUUUUAGCUAGACUUCGACUCUUCACGAUCUAUGUUAUAUCAACUCUUAAAGUCUUUGAAUGUACUAGUUGGUCUUUAUUGACCGAUAAUUUUAAAACAACUUUCAGCAACGGAUCUCUUGGCUCUCGCAUCGAUGAAGAACGCAGCGAAAUGCGAUAAGUAAUGUGAAUUGCAGAAUUCAGUGAAUCAUCGAAUCUUUGAACGCACCUUGCACUCCUUGGUAUUCCGAGGAGUAUGCCUGUUUGAGUGUCAUUAAAUUCUCAAGCUUCAACCUUGUUGUAACGACUUGGUUUGUUGUUUGGACUUGAGGGUUGCCGCGAGUUCUUGGACUUUUGAACGGCUCCCUUUAAAUGCAUUAGUGGUGACUUGGAUCCACUAUCAAAUGUGUUGAUAGUUAUCUACACUUUGAAGUGACCGACUGUCUUUCCGCUUCUAACUGUCCUUUGGGACAAUAUCUUGAAAUUUGACCUCAAAUCAGGUAGGACUACCCGCUGAACUUAAGCAUAUCAAUAAGCGGAGGAAAAGAAACUAACAAGGAUUCCCCUAGUAACUGCGAGUGAAGCGGGAAAAGCUCAAAUUUUAAAUCUGGUGGCCGAAAGGUUGCCCGAGUUGUAAUUUAGAGAAGUGCUACCCGCGCUGGACCG